rnacentral:rRNA from 1 species
UACGGAGGGAGCUAGCGUUGUUCGGAAUUACUGGGCGUAAAGGGCGCGUAGGCGGGAUGGCAAGUCAGUCGUGAAAUCUCUCGGCUCAACCGAGAAACGUCGGCUGAUACUGCCGUUCUUGAGGGAUGCAGAGGAGACUGGAAUUCCCGGUGUAGCGGUGAAAUGUGUAGAGAUCGGGAGGAACACCGGUGGCGAAGGCGGGUCUCUGGGCAGUAACUGACGCUGAGGAGCGAAAGCGUGGGGAGCGAACCGG